CCCUCACCAAUAUAUUUUAAUCAUUUCUCCUAAACCGAAAUCUCUUUUUAAAACCAUACCUUUCACUUAAACCGAAAUUUCUACCUAUCUAAUUGAUUUCGAUAAACCAUAUUUCCUAACUCCCCUCCUCCAAACCCUCACCAAUAUAUUUUAAUCCUUUCUCCUAAACCGAAAUCUCUUUUUAAAACCGUACCUUUCUCUUAAACCGAAAUUUCUACCUAUCUAAUUGAUUUCGAUAAACCAUAUUUCCUAACUCCCCUCCUCCAAACCCUCACCAAUAUAUUUUAAUCAUUUCUCCUAAACCGAAAUCUCUUUUUAAAACCAUACAUUUCUCUUAAACGUUCCUAAACAAAGCUUUGUUGCCCUAAUUUUAACCUAAUAUUUUAGCAACUUUUCCCUCCUUCAAAACCUAACCAUCUUUUUAUUUAUAAACCUAACAU
rnacentral:lncRNA from 1 species